ACGGGUGAGUAACACGUGAGUAACCUGCCCCUGACUCUGGGAUAAGCGUUGGAAACGACGUCUAAUACUGGAUACGACUGCCGGCCGCAUGGUCUGGUGGUGGAAAGAUUUUUUGGUUGGAGAUGGACUCGCGGCCUAUCAGCUUGUUGGUGAGGUAAUGGCUCACCAAGGCGACGACGGGUAGCCGGCCUGAGAGGGUGACCGGCCACACUGGGACUGAGACACGGCCCAGACUCCUACGGGAGGCAGCAGUGGGGAAUAUUGCACAAUGGGCGAAAGCCUGAUGCAGCAACGCCGCGUGAGGGAUGACGGCCUUCGGGUUGUAAACCUCUUUUAGUAGGGAAGAAGCGAAAGUGACGGUACCUGCAGAAAAAGCACCGGCUAACUACGUGCCAGCAGCCGCGGUAAUACGUAGGGUGCAAGCGUUGUCCGGAAUUAUUGGGCGUAAAGAGCUCGUAGGCGGUUUGUCGCGUCUGCUGUGAAAUCCCGAGGCUCAACCUCGGGCUUGCAGUGGGUACGGGCAGACUAGAGUGCGGUAGGGGAGAUUGGAAUUCCUGGUGUAGCGGUGGAAUGCGCAGA
rnacentral:rRNA from 1 species